AUAAAGCCACUGAAUUACACCACAAAUCAACAAGGCAUAUUAAGGAAUUGAAUGUUACGUUACUUAAGGAAAACAAAAAUGUGCAAAAAAAACUCAAGGACCUCCAAAAAGGCCCGAGGUGGAAUGGCAGACGACUUGGAAAAAUGAUUCAAAGAGCAGAACUUUGUUCGUCAAAGAAAUACCUUGUCAACUCUUGCUAUUUCCUGUCUACUACAAUAAAUGAGGAUGAAUAAUUACAA